ACGAACGCUGGCGGCGUGCUUAACACCUGCCAGUCGCACGCUGAAGCUCAGCUUUUGUUGGGUGGAUGAGUGGCGAACGGGUGAGUAACACGUGAGUAACCUGCCCCCUUCUUUGGGAUAACGCCCGGAAACGGGUGCUAAUACUGGAUAUUCACUGGUCUUCGCAUGGGGGUUGGUGGAAAGGGUUUUUCUGGUGGGGGAUGGGCUCGCGGCCUAUCAGCUUGUUGGUGGGGUGAUGGCCUACCAAGGCUUUGACGGGUAGCCGGCCUGAGAGGGUGACCGGUCACAUUGGGACUGAGAUACGGCCCAGACUCCUACGGGAGGCAGCAGUGGGGAAUAUUGCACAAUGGGCGCAAGCCUGAUGCAGCGACGCCGCGUGAGGGAUGGAGGCCUUCGGGUUGUGAACCUCUUUCGCUCAUGGUCAAGCCGCAACAAUGGUUGUGGUGAGGGUAGUGGGUAAAGAAGCGCCGGCUAACUACGUG
rnacentral:rRNA from 1 species